rnacentral:lncRNA from 1 species
AGAAAUUUGGCUUGUCACCGAAAACACUCACAAACUUUUACAGAUGCACAAUCGAGAGCAUCCUGUUGGGCUGUAUCACUGCAUGGUAAGGCAACUGCUCGGCCCACAACCGUAAGACUCUCCAGAGCCUACACUACACCCUACACUACUCCUGUUACAGUACCUUCACUACACCCUACACUACUCCUGUCACAGUACCUUCACAACACUACUCCUGUUACUGUACCUUCACUACACCCUACACUACUCCUGUCACAGUACCUUCACUACACCCUACACUACUCCUGUCACAGUACCUUCACUACACCCUACACUACUCCUGUUACAGUACCUUCACUACACCCUAUACUACUCCUGUUACAGUACCUUCACUACACCCUAUACUACUCCUGUCACAGUACCUUCACUACACCCUACACUACUCCUGUUACAGUACCUUCACUACACCCUAACCUACUCCUGUUACAGUACCUUCACUACACGCUACACUACUCCUGUUACAGUACCUUCACUACACCCUACACUACUCCUGUUACAGUACCUUCACUACACCCUACACUACUCCUGUCACAGUACCUUCACUACUCCUUUCACAGUACCUUCACUACACGCUACACUACUCCUGUUACAGUACCUUCACUACACCCUACACUACUCCUGUUACAGUACCUUCUCUACACCCUACACUGCUCCUGUUACAGUACCUUCACUACACCCUACACUACUCCUGUUACAGUACCUUCACUACACCCUACACUACUCCUGUUACAGUACCUUCACUACACCCUACACUACUCCUGUCACAGUACCUUCACUACUCCCUACACUACUCCUGUCACAGUACCUUCACUACUCCCUACACUACUCCUGUCACAGUACCUUCACUACACCCUACACUACUCCUGUCACAGUACCUUCACUACUCCUUUCACAGUACCUUCACUACACGCUACACUACUCCUGUUACAGUACCUUCACUACACCCUACACUACUCCUGUUACAGUACCUUCACUACUCCUGUUACAGUACUUUCACUACACCCUACACUACUCCUGUUACAGUACCUUCACUACACCCUACACUACUCCUGUUACAGUACCUUCACUACACCCUAUACUACUCCUGUCACAGUACCUUCACUACACCCUACACUACUCCUUUCACAGUACCUUCACUACACGCUACACUACUCCUGUUACAGUACCUUCACUACACCCUAUACUACUCCUGUCACAGUACCUUCACUACACCCUACACUACUCCUUUCACAGUACCUUCACUACUCCUGUUACAGUACCUUCACUACACCCUACACUACUCCUGUUACAGUACCUUCACUACACCCUAACCUACUCCUGUUACAGUACCUUCACUACACCCUACACUACUCCUGUUACAGUACCUUCACUACACCCUACACUACUCCUGUUACAGUACCUUCACUACACCCUAACCUACUCCUGUUACAGUACCUUCACUACACCCUAACCUACUCCUGUUACAGUACCUUCACUACACCCUACACUACUCCUGUUACAGUACCUUCACUACACCCUAACCUACUCCUGUUACAGUACCUUCACUACACCCUACACUACUCCUGUUACAGUACCUUCACUACACGCUACACUACUCCUUUCACAGUACCUUCACUACACGCUACACUACUCCUGUUACAGUACCUUCACUACUCCUGUUACAGUACUUUCACUACACCCUACACUACUCCUGUUACAGUACCUUCACUACACCCUACACUACUCCUGUUACAGUACCUUCACUACACCCUACACUACUCCUGUUACAGUACCUUCACUACACCCUACACUACUCCUGUUACAGUACCUUCACUACUCCUGUUACAGUACUUUCACUACACCCUACACUACUCCUGUUACAGUACCUUCACUACACCCUACACUACUCCUGUUACAGUACCUUCACUACACCCUAUACUACUCCUGUCACAGUACCUUCACUACACCCUACACUACUCCUUUCACAGUACCUUCACUACACGCUACACUACUCCUGUUACAGUACCUUCACUACUCCUGUUACAGUACUUUCACUACACCCUACACUACUCCUGUUACAGUACCUUCACUACACCCUACACUACUCCUGUUACAGUACCUUCACUACACCCUACACUACUCCUGUUACAGUACCUUCACUACUCCUGUUACAGUACUUUCACUACACCCUACACUACUCCUGUUACAGUACCUUCACUACACCCUACACUACUCCUGUUACAGUACCUUCACUACACCCUACACUACUCCUGUCACAGUACCUUCACAACACUACUCCUGUUACAGUACCUUCACUACUCCUGUUACAGUACCUUCACUACACCCUACACUACUCCUGUCACAGUACCUUCACUACACUACUCCUGUUACAGUACCUUCACUACUCCUAUCACAGUACCUUCACUACACUACUCCUGUUACAGUACCUUCACUACUCCUAUCACAGUACCUUCACUACACUACUCCUGUCACAGUACCUUCACAACACUACUCCUGUUACAGUACCUUCACUACUCCUGUUACAGUACCUUCACUACACCCUAUACUACUCCUGUCACAGUACCUUCACUACACUAUUCCUGUUACAGUACCUUCACUACACCGUACAGUACUGCUGUCACACUACGAGUCUGCUCUCUCUGUGGUGUGUCAGUCAGGCGGUUCAAGUCUAGAAGACUCUUCCUCUUUCUUUACAUGUGCACAAACACACUGACACACGCACACUACAAACACACACACACACACACACACACACACUACAAACACACACACACACUACAAACACACACACACACACACACACUACAAACACACAUGCACACUACAAACACACACACACACACACACACACACUACAAACACACACACACACUACAAACACACACACACACAAACACGCACUUGACUAUUUUGAUGUUUUAA